rnacentral:rRNA from 1 species
CCUACGGGUGGCAGCAGUGGGGGAUAUUGCACAAUGGGGGAAAGCCUGAUGCAGCGACGUCGCGUGUGGGAAUACUGUCCUCUGGAUUGUAAACCACUGUCCCCAGGGACGAAGAUGACGGUAUCUGGGGAGGAAGCUCCGGCUAACUACGGGCCAGCAGCUGCGGGAAUACGUGGGGAGCAAGCGUUGUCCGGAAUUACUGGGUGUAAAGGGAGCGUAGGCGGGAUGGCAAGUUGGGGGUUAAAUCUACGGGCUCAACUGGAACUCGCACUUAAAACUGCUAUUCUUGAGUGAAGUAGAGGCAGGCGGAAUGCGUAGUGUAGCGGUGAAAUGCGUAGAUAUUAGGAAGAACACCAGUGGCGAAGGCGGCCUGCUGGGCUUUUACUGACGCUGAGGCUCGAAAGUGUGGGGAGCGAACAGGAUUAGAUACCCGAGUAGUC